AUUGAACGCUGGCGGCAGGCCUAACACAUGCGAGUCGAGCGGAUGAAGAGAGCUUGCUCUCUGAUUCAGCGGCGGACGGGUGAGUAAUGCCUAGGAAUCUGCCUGGUAGUGGGGGACAACGUUUCGAAAGGAACGCUAAUACCGCAUACGUCCUACGGGAGAAAGUGGGGGAUCUUCGGACCUCACGCCAUCAGAUGAGCCUAGGUACGAUUAGCUAGUUGGUGAGGUAAAGGCUCACCAAGGCGACGAUCGUUAACUGGUCUGAGAGGAUGAUCAGUCACACUGGAACUGAGACACGGUCCAGACUCCUACGGGAGGCAGCAGUGGGGAAUAUUGGACAAUGGGCGAAAGCCUGAUCCAGCCAUGCCGCGUGUGUGAAGAAGGUCUUCGGAUUGUAAAGCACUUUAAGUUGGGAGGAAGGGCAGUAAGUUAAUACCUUGCUGUUUUGACGUUACCGACAGAAUAAGCACCGGCUAACUUCGUGCCAGCCGCCGCCGUAA
rnacentral:rRNA from 1 species